AAUGAACGUUGGCGGCGUGGAUUAGGCAUGCAAGUCGUGCGGCAGCAGGCCCCGCAAGGGGCGCUGGCGAGCGGCGAAAGGGAUAGUAAUGCGUAGAUUACCUACCCCCGGGACCCGGAUAGCUGCGGGAAACUGCAAUUAAUACGGGAUGACGUCUGCGGACCAAAGGUGAGACUCCGCCCGGAGACGGGUCUGCGUCCUAUUAGCUUGUUGGUGAGGUAACGGCUCACCAAGGCGACGAUGGGUAGCGGGUGUGAGAGCACGACCCGCAUCACUGGGACUGAGACACUGCCCAGAAACCUACGGGUGGCUGCAGUCGAGGAUCUUCGGCAAUGGGCGAAAGCCUGAACGAGCGACGCCGCGUGUGGGAUGAAGGCCCUCGGGUUGUAAACCACUGUCAGAGGGGAGGAAGUACUGGGGGGAUCACCUCUCAGUUUGACCAAUCCUCAAAGGAAGGACGGGCUAAGUUCGUGCCAGCCGCCGCGGUAACAC
rnacentral:rRNA from 1 species